rnacentral:rRNA from 1 species
GCCUAACCAUAACAAAACAAUCAAAUAACCCAUUGUUCGCCAAAUAACUACGAGUAAAAACUUAAAAUUUAAAAGACUUGACGGUAUCUCAAAACAACCUAGAGGAGCCUGUCUAAUAACCGAUACCCCACGAUUAACCCAACCCGCUCUAGCCUACAGUCUAUAUACCGCCGUCGCCAGCCUACCUUGUGAAAGAAACAAAGUGAGCCCAAUAGCCACCACACUAACACGACAGGUCGAGGUGUAACUAAUGAGGGGGCCAAGAUGGGCUACAUUUUCCAACAUAGAAAAAACGGAUUAACCUAUGAAAUAAGAAACUAAAGGAGGAUUUAGCAGUAUAUUGGGAACAACAUACCCAAUUGAAACCAGCGCAAUGAGAUGCGUACACACCGCCCGUCAUCCCUGUGUACCAAUAAAAAUAUUCAUAAACAAAAUCAACUACAAAAACAGGGCAAGUCGUAACAUGGUAAGCGUACUGGAAAGUGCGCUUAGAUA